UCCAGGGUAGUUUAGUGGGCAUGGCAACUGCCCGGUAAGCGGAACAUUGUGGGUUCGCUUCACAUCCCUGGAA
rnacentral:tRNA from 1 species